CAGUCGCCGCGGGAACACGAAGGGGGCUAGCGUUGUUCGGAAUUACUGGGCGUAAAGGGCGCGUAGGCGGCCAUUCAAGUUGGAUGUGAAAGCCCUGGGCUCAACCUAGGAAUUGCAUUUGAUACUGUUUGGCUUGAGUUCGGGAGAGGUGAGUGGAAUUCCCAGUGUAGAGGUGAAAUUCGUAGAUAUUGGGAAGAACACCAGUGGCGAAGGCGGCUCACUGGACCGACACUGACGCUGAGGCGCGAAAGCGUGGGGAGCAAACAGGAUUAGAUACCCGUGUAGUCCCUGUCUCUUAUAC
rnacentral:rRNA from 1 species